rnacentral:rRNA from 1 species
GACGUAGGGCGCAAGCGUUGUCCGGAUUUAUUGGGCGUAAAGAGCUCGUAGGCGGCUUGUUGCGUCGUCCGUGAAAACCUGUGGCUCAACUACAGGCUUGCGGUCGAUACGGGCGGGCUGGAGUUCGGUAGGGGAGACUGGAAUUCCUGGUGUAGCGGUGAAAUGCGCAGAUAUCAGGAGGAACACCGGUGGCGAAGGUGGGUCUCUGGGCCGAUACUGACGCUGAGGAGCGAAAGCGUGGGGAGCGAACAGG